rnacentral:rRNA from 1 species
GCUCAGGAUGAACGCUGGCGGCGUGCCUAAUACAUGCAAGUCGAGCGAACGGACGAGAAGCUUGCUUCUCUGAUGUUAGCGGCGGACGGGUGAGUAACACGUGGAUAACCUACCUAUAAGACUGGGAUAACUUCGGGAAACCGGAGCUAAUACCGGAUAAUAUUUUGAACCGCAUGGUUCAAAAGUGAAAGACGGUCUUGCUGUCACUUAUAGAUGGAUCCGCGCUGCAUUAGCUAGUUGGUAAGGUAACGGCUUACCAAGGCAACGAUGCAUAGCCGACCUGAGAGGGUGAUCGGCCACACUGGAACUGAGACACGGUCCAGACUCCUACGGGAGGCAGCAGUAGGGAAUCUUCCGCAAUGGGCGAAAGCCUGACGGAGCAACGCCGCGUGAGUGAUGAAGGUCUUCGGAUCGUAAAACUCUGUUAUUAGGGAAGAACAUAUGUGUAAGUAACUGUGCACAUCUUGACGGUACCUAAUCAGAAAGCCACGGCUAACUACGUGCCAGCAGCCGCGGUAAUACGUAGGUGGCAAGCGUUAUCCGGAAUUAUUGGGCGUAAAGCGCGCGUAGGCGGUUUUUUAAGUCUGAUGUGAAAGCCCACGGCUCAACCGUGGAGGGUCAUUGGAAACUGGAAAACUUGAGUGCAGAAGAGGAAAGUGGAAUUCCAUGUGUAGCGGUGAAAUGCGCAGAGAUAUGGAGGAACACCAGUGGCGAAGGCGACUUUCUGGUCUGUAACUGACGCUGA